AUUCAGUCCUACACACUCAAAGGCUUGGACUGAAAUUGUGCCCCAAUAACUCCCAGUGCCAGCGGGCUGCUCAGAGCACACAAACCGCCUCAUGUUCACUACUUUUCCAAAUGAAAUUGUAAAAAAAAUAAUCAUUUUUUUCGAAGUAAAUUUGUUUUCAUAUACAAGUAAAUGAAGGGACAAAAGAAACACAUAAGGACCAGUUGUUCUUCGAAUUUCCUGCUAACCAUAUGUCACGGGAGGCAGCGUAACGCAGAAACCUUGUUCCUCACAUGCAUUGAACAGCAUUUCAGAGAAUUCAAUAAAGAAGAGAUUGUAAGUAUAUUUCUUACAUUGUAUUGUAAGAUAUCGUACAAGAUAUUGGAAAUAAAUCAGAUACAAAAGCGUCAUUUAUAUUUUUGCAUUGUGUUUACUCAACUUCUACUCUCUCUGUUUAAACCCAUUUGAAAAAGGUCCACACAUUGAUGUCGGGUAGCGAGAGGAGCCACGGGAGCUGUAAACAUUUCAGCGCCAGAUCGGCCUUCGCAGAGACAGAAGAGAGGGAGCUGAAGGCGACACCGAACCGCGUGUUCUAGAACAGCACAGAUCAUGCAAAAUAUAUUCGGCAGCCCUUCACUCUGUACCUACAUGGCUAUGUUUUGUAGAUGCAUAAUAUAAAAGUAUAAUUAUAAUAUAUUUGCAGUACGUUGGUAUACCUUACAGGACUUAACAGAUACAUGAUCUUACUCGGCGUUAAAAAUGCUUAUCUUUAUUAUUGACUAUUUGCAUCACAGCGAUGUAGAUAUACAACAUACUUCUGCUUGUGGAAGGCGGGCUCUGUGUUGCACCUAAAAAUUGGUCUUAAAAAUAAAACCUGUUUUCCUAAUCGGCGCCUUGGGUUUCUGACAUUGGAAUCAUUUCGCAGCCUAAACGCGUACUGCAUUCGAGCGAUUACUAUUAUUAUAAUCAUAGCUGUUGUUAUUGUUGUUAUUAUUAUUAUUAUUAUUGUAAAAUGAACUGCAUGGUGAAUAUUAAUAAAGAUACAUUAAAUAUUUUAGAUGUUUAUUUAUUUCUCAGAACCGGAGCAGCAUGGAAUGCACGCCAAUAAAACAGAAAAGUACUUUCCAUAUCAAGCAAUUAACAAGUACAAACUGUAUCUAAAUCAAUGGUUGGUUUUCGGAUCUUAUUGUCUUAUUGCAUGAUACAUUUUUGUCAUCAUUAAAAAUCAAUCUGCGAGGAACUGACUUGGGCGAUUGUGUCAAAUAUUGAUCACGUGUUUUUAACUAGGCCAGAAAGAACAAAAAAAAACUAUUAUUUGUACCAUGAUUAUUCUAUAAAUAUUAGCAAGGGGAUAAAUAAUACUUCAGACAAUUAGAAUACUAUAUUUUGCAAGAACAAAUAAAUAAUGUCCAUCAGAAUACAAACAGCGGAGGCCCGGAGCUCUUGAUGAGAAACCUCUUUUCAAGCGCUUUUGGUUCUUAUGGCCCCGAGAAGUGCAACAGAAUACAAACACAAUUCUUCAACUGGGAUAAAUAAAAGAGAACAAAUUCACACAGAUGCAACUUAGGGAAUUUGUUCGUAUACCCUGUUUUGAUUAAAAAAAAUGGAAAGUAAAGAGCGGGAAAUUAAAGACGAUGUCUGGGGACCACGCGCGCCCCCACACAAAGUUCAUGAAAGCCGAUAACACUAACGAAGCUCUAGAGAAAUCCAAGCAACAGGUAUUGCUACUACAUCACAAUUGAAAGUAUAAAUGUGGGUCGGCUACUGAAGAAAAGGCAGGGAUGGGGUCGGAGG